AAGUAUAUGAUAUAUACUAUACUAUACUAUAUAUGAUAUCUGUUAUAAUAUAUCUGUAUCAAAUUAUCAUUUUUGUUUAGUAAUGUAGUACAAUAUAAUAAUUACUAUAUAAAAUACUUAAAGUCACCCAAAAAUGGCUUAUGUACAUCUUAUGUGCAGAAAAGAACCUGUAAUGUGUCAAACCUGUGGAGGUUCUCUCAAGUCAAUCACCUGCUUGUCUAUUGUUGAAACCAAAUAAAAACCAGAAAUGUCUGACAACCUCUUCGAAGCCCUUAGCCCAAUCUAAGACAACACCUACAAAAUCACAUUUCUAAAACUUAUUGAUAUAUACAACUUAAUCUAAGGAAACCAUUUAUUAUUUAUAUGUAACUAAUAUUUUAUUUUUUUAUAAGCUAAUAACCUAGUAGUCGAUGCUGUACCAUGAAUAAUAAAUAAUAAUAAUAAUAAUACUUAUUUUGUUAAUUUAUCAUAGUUUAAAUUUAUAAUAAUUAGGUGUGUACCUACUAAUUUAUUAUUUUUUAGUUUGAGUAAAAAUCAGUACCUAGUUUCAAAAAUAAUUAUUGGCAAUUAUAUAAAUGAUUACAAUGUUUUGUUAUAAAGAGUACUAUGGUUACAGGAUGGCAACCAUAAAUUGUAUUACAAUUACAAUUGUAUACAUAACACAUGUAUUUAUGUUUAUUAUAUCAUUUUUAAAUAAAGCUUGAUUUGUAUAACUUAUUUAUCAUAAACGUAGAUUUAUUUAUAUAUUUACAAAUUUGUUUUUACUUAUUUUAGAUACAUUACAACUACCUUUUAAGAGGAUGCUACACACGCAUGUGCUGUCUCCAUCUUACAGAUAUACAACAUAGCAAAAACUGCUUUGCGCUGAGUAGAACCACUCCAUCUGUAGUUAUAGUUAAGACUACAAAUUGAUAUACAAUAUAGUUCAGAAUAUUAUCUGUGAAAUAUUGUUUUUAUUUUUUAGACAUCACUUAUACGAAAGAAGUUCGAUUGUUUCAAAAUGCAUUAUGUUUUGUGUUUUUCAAACUUCAAAAACUUUUUUUGUAGUUCCCCAAAAAAUAAAAAUGAUAUUUCACCACUAAAGUUCUCCUUUUUAUGUGGUGAAAAUGUUGUUUCUUAGUUACUAAUGUAGCCUUUUUGGUUCUCUCCUGCGCAAAAAAAAUGUUUGCUGUUUUACAUUUGUGAAACGGAGACAACACAUACGGGUGUAACAUCCUCCUAAUAAUUAAAUUUACUAAUUACUAGUUAAUGUUUGUAAUAUGUAUAUUUAUUAUGAUGUAUUAUAGUAUAAGAUGUGUUAGAUAAUAUGAAUGAUAUGAAAUGUUGAUCUUAAGAUGGCAUUAAUAUUUUACUCAGAUACAUAUUCAUAUUAGUCUUUGCUUAAGAGGACAUCACACCUGCAUGUGUUGUCUCUGUGUUACAAAAGUACAACAUACCAAAUUUUACAUUAACUGUAAUCUAUUUUACUCUGUUAUUUUUAAAAUUGGAGUGAAUUGAAUUGGAUUUUAUUGUUAUUUAUAUUUUUUAAUAAGUUAUGAUAAUUUUUAAAUGUACAGUUUCAAAAAGGUUAUAACUUGGUUCUUAAAUUUAAUAUCAAUAAAAUCAUCCAAGACAGUGGCCCCGAAGUUUUUAAAAUGUGGUCGGGACUUUUACAAAACUUUACGGCCUCAAUAUCUUAAUUAUUUAAUGAAUAAUUAAACCCUAAUAUACAUUUACUCAUAAUCAUGGCUUAAAUAUAGGUACACGAUGAUCAUAAUGAAAUUAUAAUGUAAAUAAAAUGUGGCAUAUCGGCCAAAUUUUUUGAAAAAGAGAUCGGGUCACGGCCUGACGUUACAUGGACUUUGGCUUUACUACUCCAAGAUGCCAUAGAUAAUAAUCUUACCAUUAAAUUUUAUCAUUUCCAAUUCACUCUAAAUUUAAAAAAAAAAAUAGUAAAAUGGAUUAUUGUUAUUGUAAAAUUUGUUAUGUUGUACGUUUUGCAAGAGACAACAGUGGCGUAUUUAUGGGAGGGAUUUGGGGGGAUAGAUCCCCCUUGACCUUUUUUUUGUAAAGUUAAGUUUUCUUUAAAGUAUUUUCAUUUAAGUAUAAACUUUUUCUGAUAAUUAAGUAUAGCACUUACUUGACCAGUUAUUAUUUAUUAAAUUAGUAGGAUGGUGCCCAUUAAAUUGUAAGGUUUAUGACCUAUAUUAAUUUAUAUAUUUUUAUUCAAUAUAUGUAUUUGUAAGUAAAGAUUAUUAACAAUUGUUUUAUUUAUUUAUUAAAAGUAUGCCCGCAUAAAAAUUACCCACCCAGAAAUUUGAAUAUUUAGAAAUGACAGUAACAAUUAUUGUCAUAGUCUACUUUAUCUGAUAAGUAAUACUAUAUUAUAAAAUGUUAAUGUUUUAGUUAAGAGUGUAAAAUAAUUACAUUAAUUGUAUCUUGCCGUAGUCUAGUAAAAGUAGUUUUUAACUUUUCUUCUCUUAUACUCCUUGAAAAACUUAUCAGAACAUAUAAUACAAUAACAUUGUAAUUUUAUACUUUUAUUGGCUUAAUAUAAGACAAAUAACAAAUACUUAAUUUAUUAAAGCGAUGGACAAAUUGUAUAUUAUAAAUAAUAUGAUAUACUUACUGUAGUUGAGUUUUAUUUUUAAAAAUGUACAAAUUUAAUUACCCACCUAUUGAUUAUAGAAUAGGUAUCAAUAAUAUAAAAAUUAACAUUUACUUACAUGAUUACUGAUUAAAUAUUCAUAUAUUUUAAGUGGCAAGAAAGAGAAAUAUAACGUCCUUAAAUCUAUCAUGUCUGUAAUUUGUUAGUUGUAAAUUAUUGUAAUUAGUCCUUCUAUUUAACCAUUUUUGUUUUCUUGUAAAUAUUAAUAUUCAAUGGGUUUUGUUCUUCCAUAUUAAAAAUGUAUUAACAUUUUUAUAGUUAUAAUCCUAAUAGUUGUUAUAACAGAACUAAAAGUUAUAAAAUAUAAGUUCAGUCAAGUAUAAAAUAAAAAAUUGAUCCAUACAACUGUUUCGUAAAAGGGAUAAGACUUCAAAAUCACUAUUAUACUGAUUAUACUUACCUACAUUUUAAUUUUUUUUUAAUCAUAUAAUGGCCAAAUUGACUUACCUUAUCCUUUGUAUCCGCUCUGACAGUCUUACUACAGCUGACAGUUCAAUAAUAAAAUAAUUUAUUAAAAGGAUUAAUUAGACUUUUACAAUCUAUAUGAUUCACAAGUAUUUAUUUGCAUUCUUAUAGUACACUAAGUGUUAAAGUGAUGUACCUGCAUAUUAUGUUGUCUUCAUCUUACUAAAUUUGAAUUACUAAACAAAUGUAUAAUAUACCAAAAUGUACAUCCAGCCAUUCUAAUUUGGUAUUGUUAGCUGAAAUAUUAGAUUGAAUUUGACUUAAUAUCAAACUUAAAUGUAAGAACAUUAUCUAUGUCCGUGUCCUCUUAUUGGUUUCUUACAAUAUUAUAAUUUUUAAGUGAAUUAUGAGCAUUUUCAAAUAUUAAUAUUUUACAAACUCAUAUCUCACUUAAAAAUCAAAAUAUUAUAAUAAACCAAUGGGAAACACACAGGUUAUGUUCUUAAAUUUAAGUUUGAUAAUAUGUCAAUAGUCAAUCCACUCUAAUAUUUAAGCUAACAGAUAACUGCUAGAUGAAUGUUUUGGUAUAUUAUGAGUUAGAAAGAUAGACACAACAUAAUAUGCGAGGAUGACGUCCUCUUAAACAUUUUAUAAUAACUAAAACCAUAAUAGUAAUUAUCAUUUAUUAUUUAAAACAUAUUUUAUAGCAAAGGUUAAGUAUAUUUUUUUUUUAGCUUCUAAUACUUAAAUUAUUAUAGCUCAGCAGUUAUUAUGCUUGGGCAUUAGAGAGAAAAACAUAAGUGAACAAAAGGUUAGGUAUAAUUGUAUAAAUAUACCAUAACAUUAUGAAGAUAAUUUAUGACAAUUAAAUUUAAAUAUAAAACUUAUUUACAAAAAAAAUAAUUAUUAAAAUACUGAUUUAUUUUACAAUUUUUAAUUAAUUUUCAAACCAUAUCUACAUUAUACUCUGUACUUAAGAGGACGCUACACAGACAUUUGUUGCUUUCGUUUUACAAGUACGUAACAUAGUACAUUUUAAGCCAAACAGAUCACAUUUAGCUCCGUUAGUUUAAAAAUUAGAGUCAAUUGACCACUUAUAGAAUAUAAAGGUACAAUUAUUAUCCAGGGCAUCUCUUUUUUAUUAAAUUUUAUUUUUAAAGCUAGUUUUGAGUUACAAACAAUUUAUAAAAAGCUUCAACCUCGGCCAAUUUGUGUGCUUAAUUAAGCAUUGAAUGACCAAUAUGUGCUACUCAUUGUAGCUAACUUACAUAUUACAUUAACACUAUAUAUAAUAUAUAUGUGUAGCAGUACAUACUGACAUUCAUAACACUGUCGAUGAACAGUUCUGUACUUCCGUACCUAUAUUGUAUAUUACACAUUACAUAUAGUUGACCAAAGCUUAAAUAUAUUAUCAUGAAUAAAAGACAAAACAAUAUGUGUACAAUAAUAUAAUGCAAUAUUAAUUAAAUCAAAAAUAAAAACAAAUAAAAUCAGUAUUAUUAUUAAAUAUGUAAUAUAAUUUAUUAAAUUCAAGUUGUGCGUCGAGUACAAACAGAAUUCGCGUACCGUAUAUCCACGGGUUAUAAAAGAAAUAAACUAAACAAUAUAAAAAAGCGAAAAUUGCGAUAACAACGACCGACGGCCGGCGUCGAAUGCGAUUGCAAAGGCUACGGACAGGCUUCGCGGCUUUAAUAACAAACGAACUACGCAAAUAGAGUGACGAGGAUGGGAAAAUGUCGGAAAGGCGAAAAAACGGUAUAAGAGUACAAUUUUUCGAAAAACGUUAUAAAUUGUCAUAAAUGUUUGAAAAAUUUGAAAACUGAUAACGAAAAAGAGGGAUAACCGUCCGCUAAGGAAAUCGACCGUAUGUUCUAUGGUAGAAGCGAAGCGGCGUUGAUGACAAAAUUUGAUUUUGUUGAUAAACGAUAACACGUCGACGAUGAUAACAAAAAUAUUAAAAUAACAGUUUCUCUAUUAAUUAUUAUUCGAGUCCUUAGCUUCUUAGUAGAAGAAAGUAUCUAACAUAAUAAUAUAAUAUUCAAUAUUAAUUUGUAUUUUAUUCUAUUCCAAUUUUUGCUUAUUGUUAACAGUUAACUGGUAAUUCUAACAAGACUUAGUGUAUUUAUGCAGCAUUAAAAUGUUGCUAAAAGUAUAUUCCUAUUUUAUAAGUAGAUAUAACUAGAUUACUCAGUUGUAUUAUUAUUGUUCCAUUUGUCACAUAAAAUAUGACACAUCUAGGCAUCUAGCAUUCUAGCUCAUAGGAAUUAAGUUGAUAAUAUUUAAAUAAAAUCGUCACUUUGUACGGUCGAGCAUUAAAAGAGCAAAACUAGACACUUUGUACGUUCGGGUAAAAAGGUACAUUGCAGAACGCGGAUACUUUGAACUAUUGUAUACAUAAAACAUAUAUAUGUAAAUAUAAAUAUUACUUAUAUAAAUAUAAGUUAUAUAUCUAAGUAGUAAGUAUAUAUAAUGUCAAUUAUUAAAAUGUAAAAAUUAAAAAUUAAAACAAAAAGUCAAUUAAUGUUUUAAAAUAUAUAUUAACAAUUGGGGAAACAGAUGAACAAAACGCGCUUUGGUGGAAACAAUUUGUACCGUAAGAUUCGGGGUGUAUAGAUAUAGUUUUAUAUUGGUUAUUUUACUUUUUAUAAAAAAUUAAUUUUGGUAUUGAAACUUUAUACACUUUUAUAGCUAACUAUAUACGUUGGUAAGUACAAUUUCUACUAAUAUUAUCAAAUACAUUCAAAUACACUUCACUUAAAGGAAAAUUUAUGUGAAAUGUCGAGAAAAUACAUACAAUCUCCCGACUCCACGUAGGGGAGAACCCGACUAACUAUCAGUACGAUAGGCGUCGACAGCGCUCCCAGUGUUAAUCUGUUUUCCCAAUAGUAUAUUAACCCCUAUAUUAACAAUAGUCAAAAUAAUAAUAAAGUUUUUUUAAUUAACUGGUUAGAUAAAGGCCAAAUAUUUCUUGGUGCUAUAAUUUAUUUUUAAUUAAUUUAGAAACUUAAUGACCUAAAAAUCUUGAAAUUAUCAUAAUAAUCAAAUAUGAUUAUAAAUUAUAAUUAUAUUAUAUUAUUAUCAAAUGUUAUGUUAAAAAAUAUAUUAAAAAUGCGUACAAUAUGUUGAAAUGACAAAAAAAAAUUACUUUUGAUAGGUAAUAACUCACGAUUCUCUUCUAUUUGGAAUGUAUAAGAUAUUAGAAUUACCAAAUAAUAUUUAAGCUUAAUAACAUGAUCUGGUUAUGACUUCAGACUUGUUUAUAUUAAAUACAUACUUAAUGUAUAUUAGUACAAAGUGUUCGUGUUUUGCAAUUUAAAGUUUUACCUGAUCGUACCAAGUGUCUGGGUUAUGCAUUUUAAAUAAUCGACCUUACAAAGUGACCUUUUACCUAAAUAUUUGUAUGCUAUAUUAUAGCAAAAUAAUUGGUUGUUGCUAUUUGUUUCCAUUAAAUGAUUAUUUUCUCUCACUGUUAAUAUUUUAAUAUUCAACUAUUUGAAACAACUAUUUAGAUAAUUAAAAUGUUGAGAUACAGAGGAAAGAAAGUAGCACUUAAUAUUGUAAAAGAAUUGGAUUCAUUUCCUAAGGUUCUAGAAGAAAUUUAUGAACCAUCUACUUUUAGUAAUGUUAUACAUUUGUACCGGACACGGACUAUGAAUCUAAACUUCCAACUAACAUAGAUAUUACUGUUGCAUCAACUUGUGAUAGUUCGGAUAUUGUUGAUACAACAGGACAAAAUAUGAUGUUAUUUGGAGAAUUAAAAACUGAUGAUACUUGGUGGGAAAUGACAAAAGAACAGCAACAAAAUUUCGAAAAAAUCCGUUAAUUCAAUGCAUAUUUAAGAGAAAAAUAUCAUUCAAUGAAAGACAUAUUAUGGUUGUUUGAUGAUUAUAAUACAUUAAAAAAUAAAACAUCUGUUAGAUGAAACAAUCUACUCAUUAUUUAGAUGGGUCGAUGAUAUAUGGUUCAUCAGCGAAACGUACGUGGUCGUUAAUGACCACCAGCUUGGAUGGCCAACUGUUGACAAGCAUGGGCAGCGAUAACAAGAGCCAAGGCGACCCCGCUACAGCCACAGUAUAUGCCGCUGGAAGACACUGAAUCAAACGUCUGUCAGUAUGGCAGUGGCACGUGUUAUAGAGUAGGUGACAUCCAGGCAAACGAGUUUCCCCUACUGAUGGUCAAGCUCACAUUGUGGAUAAGGAAACACAACCGGUUGGCUAAACUACUGUCACACGUCAACCUGCACUGGGACAACGAACAUAUUUUUUAGGAGGCCAGGAAAAUCGUUACGGCGUCCAUACAGCACAUCACUUACGCUGAGUGGCUGCUCGGGGAAAACUACAACAGGUGGAACUGGCUUGAACUAUUGAAUGAAGAGUUCAGUUACACGUACAACAAGACCACCGACCCGAGCGUCAGCAACGACUUUGCGACCACAAUAUUACCAUUCUCUAAUUCCUUGAUAAAGGACACCAUCAGUUUAUAUACGGAAGGCCAAGUGAUCAACGCAAGUCUUUUGCUAAAGGAACAUUACAACCGACCAACUGGUUUACUAUUAAAUUAAAUUACAUGGAUCAGCUUGUCAGAGGGCUAUCUACGCAGAAUACACAAAAAAUCGAUAUGCUAUUUAUUAAAACGCUUACAAAUUACUAAUACAGUGUUCAUCCAAACAACGUAUUUGGAAUGGACAUUGUGAGUUUGGAUAUACAACGAAGCCGCGAUCAUGGUAUACCAAGCUACACAGAAUUUAGAAAAUAUUGUUGACUAAAAGCUAUAAGAAAUGUACAAGAUUUAUCUCAGAUCAUGGUUGAAGGUACUAUUGAAGCAAUACAAACUUUGGAGAGAUAUAGUGCUAUUGGUAGGUGCAUUGUUUGAGAAACACAAAGACGACUCAAUGGUUGGCCCAACGAUGAGAUGUAUCAUUAGAGAACAGUUUAUAAGAACUAGAAAGGCAGACGGAUAUUUUUACAAUUUACCAAAAAUCAAUUGACAGAAACCAGAAAAGUGAUGCUUGCCAGAUUCUUUUGUGAUAACGGCAAUAAUGUCACAAUGAUGUAGAAAAAAGUAUUUUUGAUACCUGAAAUGGCUGAUUUGCGACUGUAAUUCCCAAUUUAUUCCAAAAAUCAACAUCAAUCACUGGUCAGAAAUGGUCGAUACAUUUCAAAAAUAAUCUUGUAUUAAUCACUGAUGUAAUUAAUUAUAAUGUAUUAUUGUUGAAAAACAAUAUUAACAGUUUUUUAAAUUUAACAAUUAAUAAUCAGCCUUUGAUCUAACCUUUUUUGUUUUACCUAGGUGUCAUGUUUUAAUAAAUAUUUUUAAAAUGAAUUAUGAGUCUAUUACAUUUUUGAUUGUAUAAAAUACAUUUUUAAAUGUUGAUAAAAUUUUAGGGUGGUAUUCAUUAAAUUAAAAAAAUAAAUUAUACAACAACAAUCAAGAUAUGAUUUAGAAUCAAUAAUGAGUUACGUAUCCAAAAUUUGUGAUCAUAUUGUUUGUGUCAUCUAAAGUUAUCUGCAUGUACGAAAAAGUGGGUCGUUACUUAACGUUACUUAUUGCGUGUGCAUGGGUAUGUGUGUUACCCAAUAAACAUUUUGUAAUUUUAAACAUUAAAAUAUUAAAUGUAUCAUUUAAAAACAUCAAUAGUUAAGUAUUAAUAUAAAUGGUUUAAUUAACAUUUGAUAAAAGUUUAAACAAACUAUUAAUAUAAUGUCAGGACUCAGGAUGUCAUUUCUAUGAAUGUUUAAAAAAUAUAAUCUUGUAUAAAACAUUGAUAUAUUUAUUUAUAAUGUAUUAAUGUUGAAAAAUAACAUUAACAGUUUUUAAGAAUUAUAAGUUUUUUAAAUUUAAUAAUCAAUAAUCAUUCUCUAGUCUAACCUUUUUGAAU